UGUUAAAGAUUAAGCCAUGCAUGUGUAAGUAUAAAGACUAAGAAUGAUGAAACUGCGGACGGCUCAUUACAACAGUUAUAGUUUCUUUGGUUAGUAAAAUAAGGAUAACUCUGUUAAUUGUAGAGCUAAUACUUGAGACACUCCUUAGUCACACGGCUAAGGCGACCGAACCACGGUUUGGUAAUAAUCAUCUCUUAUUGAAUGAGGAGAUGAGGACAAUUGUAGAAGGCCAGGAAUUUAACAAGUAACCAAUGAGAAUAUCUGACCUAUCAACUAGAUGGUAAGGUAGUGGCUUACCAUGGUGAUAACGGGUAACGAGAAAUAAGGGUUUGAAAUCGGAGAGGGAGCCUUCAAAAUGGCUACCACUUCUAAGGAAGGCAGCAGGCGCGAAAAUUACCCACUUCAGACGAUGAGAGGUAGUGACGACAAAUAACUAAAACCGGUGCAACGCAUCGAGUUUUGGGGAUGAGCCAGAAACAAAGACUCUGGCGAACGCGAUUGGAGGGCAAGUCUGGUGCCAGCAGCCGCGGUAAUUCCAGCUCCAAUAGUGUAUAUUAAAGUUGUUGUGAUUAAAAAGCUCGUAGUUGAAAGGAAACGAGAGUAGAAGCCGAGGUCGGAGCGCAUUCGUGCGAGCCACCGAGGCUACUAGAUUCUCAAACACUCGCGGGUGGCUGCUCGCAGUCAGCCGAGGGACAUUUACUUUGAAAAAAUAUGAGUGUUUAAAGCAAAGCAUAAGCUAAUGAAAUAUGAAGCAUGGGAUAAUAGCGAGGGGAUCACAGCGGAGGCCAGCGACCGCUGAGCCAAAGCGGUGAUAACGAGAGAAGGAUUAAUAGAAAGAGAUGGGGUGAUUUAUACGGAAAUGGGAGAGGUGGAAUUUCAUGAUCAUUUCAGGAUAAACAAGAGCGAAAGCAUUUCACUUAAAUCUAUUCAUUAAUCAAGAACGAAAGUUAGGGGAUCGAAGACGAUUAGAUACCGUCGUAGUCCUAACUAUAAACGAUGUCAACCGAGGAUUGGAAUGAAUUUCGACGAGCAUUCGAGCGCAACCGCGCAAGGGAGCUCGUUACGCAAACUCAGUUCAGCACUCAGCGGGAAACCGGGAGUUAAUGGACUUCAGGGGGAGUAUGGUCGCAAGGCUGAAACUUAAAGGAAUUGACGGAAGGGCACACAAGGGGUGGAGCUUGCGGCUUAAUUUGACUCAACACGGGAAAACUUACCAAGACCAAACAUCUAGAGGAAUGACAGACUAAGGGACCUUUCAUGAUAAGAUGAGGAGUGGUGCAUGGCCGUUCUUAGUUGGUGGAGUGAUUUGUCAGGUUAAUUCCGAUAACGAACGAGACUUUAAUCUCUAAUUGGAUGGUGGCGCCACGGUGCCAGCAGCGCAAGCCCUCGAAUGAGGUCGACUUAGAGAGACAUAUCAUCAAUUUUCCAGAAGAACCUUCGGGUUCGAUGGAAGAAGAGAUAGGAAGGAAAGCAAUAACAGGUCUGUGAUGCCCUUAGACAUCUUGGGCUGCACGCGUGCUACAAUAGUAGCCAUAAAGAGCACAUCGGCGACGUCAUAGCGCGAGCCAUCCUUCGGGAGGUGAGCGGACUAGGCCAGCCAACCGAAACCGAAAGGUGGAGGGAAACUCAAAAGGGUACUGUACCAGGGAUUGAUGAUUGUAAUUAUUCAUCAUGAACGAGGAAUCCCUUGUAAAAUUUCGUCACUAACGAAAGUUGAAUACGUCCCUGCCCUUUGUACACACCGCCCGUCGCUCCUACCGAUUGAAUGAGAAGGUGAAGGUUUAGGAGGAAGUGACGCCGUCACACCGAAUGGAUCUAAAUCUCUUCAUUUAGAGG
rnacentral:rRNA from 1 species